AUACGGAGGGUCCGAGCGUUAUCCGGAUUUAUUGGGUUUAAAGGGUGCGUAGGCGUUUUAGGGGUAAUCAGCGGUGAAAUUUUCCGGCUCAACCGGGAUACUGCCGUUGAUACUGUAAGGCUAGGAUAUGGUUGCUGUGGGUGGAAUGUGUGGUGUAGCGGUGAAAUGCUUAGAGAUCACACAGAAUAUCGAUUGCGAAGGCAGCUCACAAAGCCAUUAUUGACGCUGAGGCACGAAAGUGUGGGGAUC
rnacentral:rRNA from 1 species